CGCGUAGGUGGCUUUUCAAGUCGGAUGUAAAAUCUCCCGGCUUAACUGGGAGGGACCAUUCGAUACUGUUGGGCUAGAGGGCAGCAGAGGGAGAUGGAAUUCCCGGUGUAGUGGUGAAAUGCGUAGAUAUCGGGAGGAACACCAGUGGCGAAGGCGAUCUCCUGGGCUGUACCUGACACUGAGGCGCGAAAGCGUGGGGAGCGAACA
rnacentral:rRNA from 1 species